GACGGAAGGUGCAAGCGUUGCUCGGAAUCACUGGGCGUAAAGGGUGCGUAGGCGGCCGUGCAAGUCUGGCGUGAAAGCCCCGGGCUCAGCCCGGGAAGUGCGCUCGAAACUGCGCGGCUCGAGUGCCGGAGGGGAGAGUGGAAUUCCUGGUGUAGCGGUGAAAUGCGUAGAUAUCAGGAGGAACACCGGUGGCGAAGGCGGUUCUCUGGGCAUUACCUGACGCUGAGGAGCGAAAGCAUGGGGAGCGAACAGG
rnacentral:rRNA from 1 species